rnacentral:rRNA from 1 species
AACGAACGCUGGCGGCAGGCUUAACACAUGCAAGUCGAGCGCCCCGCAAGGGGAGCGGCAGACGGGAGAGUAACGCGUGGGAAUCUACCCAUCUCUACGGAAUAACACAUGGAAACGUGUGCUAAUACCGGAUACGCCCUUCGGGAGAAAGAUUUAUCGGAGAUGGAUGUGCCCGCGUUGGAUUAGCUAGUUGGUGGGGUAAAGGCCUACCAAGGCGACGAUCCAUAGCUGGUCUGAGAGGAUGAUCAGCCACACUGGGACUGAGACACGGCCCAGACUCCUACGGGAGGCAGCAGUGGGGAAUAUUGGACAAUGGGCGCAAGCCUGAUCCAGCCAUGCCGCGUGAGUGAUGAAGGCCCUGGGGUUGUAAAGCUCUUUCACCGGUGAAGAUAAUGACGGUAACCGGAGAAGAAGCCCCGGCUAACUUCGUGCCAGCCGCCGCCGUAACAC